GGCUUGGUAGCACUUGGAGUGCAUCUGCAUCUGCAUCUCAUAUCCAGCUCCCCACAAAGGUUAUGCAGAAGGAGCCCGUUCGAUUCGGGCCUGAGCCA